rnacentral:lncRNA from 1 species
CCAGCAGGAAUGGGUCCCUGGUAUCUUUCUGCGCUUGCGCCACAAGGAAAUGUCACUUCCGACUCUGCGCGCACCUGGCCGGAACCUGCCGGCGCCUGGGAAGUGAGUGAAACCCAGUUUUUGUUUGGAGCGUGAAGUAGUACCCUUCUCUCUGUGUGUCUUGAGGACACGCGCCUCUCUGCGCGAACCCCAACAAUGCGUUCUGUAGCCCAGGCGCUCCUCAGCUUCAAGGGCCAGUGCUGUUCUCGUUCCACCACACCCCUUAGGUCACGCCCCCUCCUCCGCCAGUCUGACUUUGUGCAGCUCCCAGACCCCUCGCACACUCACACCUGUACUUCCCCUAAUCAUCCUCGAGGACUGAUCUUCCCUUAGAGCACUUGCGCGGGGAUGGGGAAGGUGCUUUGGAUGAAGAAGAAGCCUCUCCACCCCACUGAGCGCCUCCUUCUCUGGCCGCCCUUUGCAGACUGUAACCAUGAAGUUCAACCCCUUCUUGACCUCUGACUGCAGCAAAAUCCGCAAGUGCAUUUCAGUGCCCCCUCGCACGUGCGCCGGAAGAUCAUGUCUUCUCUUUCCAAGGAACUGCGGGAGAAAUACAACGUCCGCUCCAUGCCCAAACCCGGGGAUGAUGAGGUCCACGUACAUCCCCCAUCUUCCUCGGGUUCUAGUUACCCAGUUGUGUGGCGUGUGGCCACUUCCUUUGCAUGAAAACAUCCUAUGUGCUUGGACCUGGAGGAGUCAGGGAACGUCAGGUCCUGAAGACUCUAGCAAGACCUUUAACUCUGUUAAUGUGCUAUACCAGAGGUGGAGCCCAGAGCCACUAAAGAGUGCCCGCAGGUCUUUAGUAAUAGUAAAUAAAAUAAACCAGUGGUUCGAGGACACUACAAAGGUCAGCAAAUUGCCAAGGUCUUUCAGGUGUACAGAAAGAAAUAUGUCAUCUACAUCGAGCAAGUGCAGCAUGAGAAGGCUAAUGGCCCAACCAUCCAUGUGGGCAUUCACUCAAGCAAGGUAAUUAUCACCAGGCUAAAACUGGACAAAGACAGAAAAAAAAUUCUUGAACGCAAAGCCAAGUCUCGACAAGUUGAAAAAGAGAAAGGCAAAUACAAGAGCUCAUUGGGAAAAUGCAGGAGUGAAUAUAACCUGUCCUGCAAUCAUGAUUUAACUGCAGAUGUCUAGCCUAGCCUGUUCUUUGCUGGGACUUUUCAAAAUGUCUCUGCAAUGUUUCAUCGCCUUUCUGUUUUGUUACUGAUAUAUGGCUCUGUAAAUCUACUUUUGUGAUUGAUUAAUAAUUUUAUGAAUAAAAUUGGAGCUAUUUCCCAACUCCAAAUGGUAUUUACAUCACUUUAUAAAUGAAAUCCAUCUUAUCAGUUCUGUCCUGCAAGUCUUGCAUAUAUUUGAUCUGUGGACCAGCAAAAGAACAUUGGUAGGGUUAAGCCAGCCUGCCCCUGCCUGAACCGUCAUACCAAUGGAGGAGAAAGGCAUGGCUCUGGUCCCUAAAGCAGAAGUUUGCCUCACUCAGCAGUCGUGACAUGAAUUGGCAUGCUCAAAACACCACGGAGUUCCUAGUCAUGAUGUGAACUGACACACUGAGGCCUCAUGAAAUUCCUGGUGCUCCUUUGUCCUCCCGUCUCCUAGGUAACAAAUUCUGGAGCUAACUCACAAAACUAGCAUCCUCUAGAUGAGAUUUGACUUAGAUGGUUUGUUUUUAUAUUUUUUACAGCUUUUACUAAUUUCCAACAUUUAAGAUGUGUGACACUCCACGGAGAAUCACCUGGCUGCACAGGGCCUGGUUCCCGCAUUGCAUUCAGGUAGUGGAGCUCAGGGGUUGGCUUCUUGCCUGGCCUCCACUGGCAUCUGUUUUAGACUCCAACUGAACUUCAUUCUUGAUUUAGCUCCAGGAUCACAUCUAAAAUCUUCCCUGCCCCUGUGAAAAAUGAUUGAUUAAAAUGCACCCAACAGCAUUUUUUCUUAUGUUUUCAGUACUGUGGAUUGAACCCAAGGCCUCACACAUGCUAGGCAAGUGCUCUACCACUGAACUACAUCUCCAGCCCACUCUUUUGUGACCCACUGUUCCCUAUCUGAGAAGCUAGAAAUGCUUAUCUCUAAGGUUGUGAAAAUUGAAGUAGCAGUCCCCCAGACCCACCUGAUUCAUGAGUUACUUGGGUGCUGUAUUAGUUGCCAUCCUCUUGCCUAGAUUGUAUAUUCAGUAGGUCCAAAGAGAAAUAAUGUGUGUGUGUGUGUCUUAUGUGGAUUGCCUUUUGUUUGUUUUGUUUUUUGUACUGGGCAUUGAACACAGGGCUUUCACACUGAGCUACAUCUCCAACCCCCUUUUUUAUUUUGAUUUGAGUCUUUUUUUUUUCUGGUACCAGGAAUCAAAGUCAGGACUCUGAGCUUGCCAGGCAGGCAUGGCGCCACUGAGCUACAUCUCCAGCCCUCCCCUUUUUUGAGACUGAGUCUCACAAUGUCACUUAAGUUACCCAGGCUGAGCUUAAAUUUGUGAUCUUCCUCACUCAGUCUCCCAGAGCGCUGCGAUUAUAGGCUGUGCCACUAUGCCUAGCUGACUAAUUCUUA